GUGCCAGCCGCCGCGGUAAUACCGGCAGCACGAGUGAUGGCCGAUAUUAUUGGGCCUAAAGCGUCCGUAGCCGGCCAGACAAGUCCGUUGGGAAAUCGGCGUGCCUAACACGUCGGCGUCCAGCGGAAACUGUUUGGCUUGGGGCCAGAAGAUCCGAGGGGUACGUCCGGGGUAGGAGUGAAAUCCCGUAAUCCUGGACGGACCACCGGUGGCGAAAGCGCCUCGGAAAGAUGGACCCGACGGUGAGGGACGAAAGCUGGGGUCUCGAACCGGAUUAGAAACCCUGGUAGUCC
rnacentral:rRNA from 1 species